rnacentral:rRNA from 1 species
UAGUCUAACCGCAAGGAGGACGGUCACCACGGUAGGAUUCAUGACUGGGGUGAAGUCGUAACAAGGUAGCCGUAUCGGAAGGUGCGGCUGGAUCACCUCCUUU